GAGUUUGAUCGUGGCUCAGGAUGAACGCUGGCGGCGUGCUUAACACAUGCAAGUCGAACGAAGCACUUUACUUCGAUUCUUCGGAUGAAGAGUGAUGUGACUGAGUGGCGGACGGGUGAGUAACGCGUGGGUAACCUGCCUCAUACAGGGGGAUAACAGUUAGAAAUGACUGCUAAUACCGCAUAAGACCACAGAGCCGCAUGGCACGGUGGUAAAAACUCCGGUGGUAUGAGAUGGACCCGCGUCUGAUUAGGUAGUUGGUGGGUAACGCCUACCAAGCCGACGAUCAGUAGCCGACCUGAGA
rnacentral:rRNA from 1 species